rnacentral:rRNA from 1 species
GAUGAACGCUGGCGGCGUGCCUAAUACAUGCAAGUCGAGCGAACAGACGAGGAGCUUGCUCCUCUGACGUUAUCGGCGGACGGGUGAGUAACACGUGGAUAACCUACCUAUAAGACUGGGAUAACUUCGGGAAAACGGAGCUACUACCGGAUAAUAUAUUGAACCGCAUGGUUCAAUAGUGAAAGACGCUUUUGCUGUCACUUAUAGAUGGAUCCGCGUCGCAUUAUCUAGUUGGUAAGGUAACGGCCUACCAACGCCACGAUGCGUAGCCGACCUGAGAGGGUGAUCGGCCACACUGGAACUGGGGCACGGUCCAAACUCCUACGGGAAGCAGCAGGAGGGAAUCUUCGGCAAUGGGCGGCAGCUUGGCGGAGCCACGCCGCGUUAGUGAUAAAGGUCUUCGGAUCGGAAAACUCUGUUAGUAGGGAAAAACAAGUGUGUAAGUAACUAUGCACGGCUUGACGGUACCUAAGCAGAAAGCCACGGCUGAAUACGUG